AGGAGAUGAAAUUGGAUAUGCACAAGAGUGAAUUGGUGAAAACUAACCUUAAUAAUAUCAUUUCACACCAUUUCUAAUCUAUUCCAUAUUUCAAGUGUCUUCAAAUAUCAAAUGCCAACCUUGUAAUUAUUUAUGAAUGUUGAAAGGAUUUUUGUCGCCUAAAAUCUCAACAAUUUCCCACUAAUGUAGUAUAGGGACAACCUAGGGUUUAAUCCGU
rnacentral:lncRNA from 1 species